rnacentral:rRNA from 1 species
UACGAAGGGGGCUAGCGUUGUUCGGAAUUACUGGGCGUGAAGGGCGCGUAGGCGGUACUUCAAGUCAGGCGUGAAAGCCCCGGGCUCAACCUGGGAACCGCGCUUGAGACUGGAGAACUAGAGUUCGGGAGAGGAUGGUGGAAUUCCCAGUGUAGAGGUGAAAUUCGUAGAUAUUGGGAAGAACACCGAUGGCGAAGGCAGCCAUCUGGACCGACACUGACGCUGAGGCGCGAAAGCGUGGGGAGCAAACAGG